rnacentral:rRNA from 1 species
GACGAACGCUGGCGGCGUGCUAAACACAUGCAAGUCGAACGAUGAACUUGGAGCUUGCUCUGGGGGAUUAGUGGCGAACGGGUGAGUAACACGUGAGUAACCUGCCCUGGACUCUGGGAUAACUUCGAGAAAUCGGAGCUAAUACCGGAUAGGACCUUGCACCGCAUGGUGUGGGGUGGAAAGUUUUUCGGUUUGGGAUGGACUCGCGGCCUAUCAGCUUGUUGGUGAGGUAAUGGCUCACCAAGGCGUCGACGGGUAGCCGGCCUGAGAGGGUGACCGGCCACACUGGGACUGAGACACGGCCCAGACUCCUACGGGAGGCAGCAGUGGGGAAUAUUGCACAAUGGGCGCAAGCCUGAUGCAGCAACGCCGCGUGCGGGAUGACGGCCUUCGGGUUGUAAACCGCUUUUAGUAGGAAGAAGCCUUCGGGUGACGGUACCUGCAGAAAAAGGACCGGCUAACUACGUGCCAGCAGCCGCAGUAAGAC